GUUCGGCUCUGGGUUAUGCACGCGAAAGCGCUCUUUCUGUCCCAGCGUUCCAUGUGACCGUUUAAAUAUAAACACGACCGUUACGAGCUGUUUACGCAUUUAAACUAAUGUUAUGGCUUUUCUUCCUAGUUUAUCUGUCGCGUUUGUGUUAAAAUCUCGUCAAAUGUGUGGAUUUCGUUCAUUUCUGCGAUAGCGGUGUCAUGUGCCUACCGACGUCGGAGAUUUUCGCCCACGAAAAGGAAGACUUGGCACCGACAAGAACGAACUGCAAGUGGAAUGGGGCCUGCUUCACAGGCCAAACUCUACAUUUAAAAGAUAAUCUCAACAGAAAUCUCCUGCAGAGUGACUGGUGAGACUCAAAUUACUGUUUUAACUUCCCUGAUGUUCAGUCAAAUUGUCAUACAGAUGUAUGAAGACACUGUUCUGGAACCAUAGUGCUUUCGAAACACCAUGGAAUAUCAAUAGAAACACUUACCACAUGCAGUAGAUACCUGCCUACUAUUACAGUAAGUUCUACAACAUUUAACAGUGGUUAAUAUUUGAACACUGAACAACACAGAAAUAAAUAUGGAAGCUUAUCAGUAGCAAAAUUCCUGUAUUCCUGGGCUUACAUAUUUUGAGCUUCUAACAAAAAUUCCUAUCAGUUUUACCAAUUUACUUUCUCAUUUGGUGUACUAGUAUUAACAUUUCAUUUACACUGAGAUUUAGUAGCUUUAGAUAAAUUAAAUUGUAUUUUCUUAAAUCAUUAGUAAAGCUUAGCAUGAUUAAACAAUAAUGGUGUCAAAAUGCUAAUCUUCUAAUUUACAUAGUGAGCAUUAGAUGUGGGCAAAUUCACACAACAUAAAAGUUCUGCUUUCCAUUUUAAAAAUUAAUAUUACAAGAACUGCUGGGAUACAUGUAACAUAGUGAGCUAGUUCAUGUUUGCCAGCUGGUAUAAACAGCUGAUGGAGGAAAUUGUUUGGAAAUGUAAUGUUAGUUAGCAUUAACGAUAACUUUUAGCUAGCUUAAUUCUGAAGCCCUCCUCAGUUCAUGUAACAUAUUAGCAGAUGAGGUGAUGUCAGAACAGUAUAUCCACAUCUUAUGCUCACUUUGUAAAAGAUAUCCCUAAAUUACCACUGAACUUGAAUAUGUGUGGUGGGCCUCCCGCUCCCUUGGUUAUAAGCAGUCUUUCAGCCACCGCUCAUCAUUUAUCAAACAUCCUGGCACAUGUAACUGCUGCCCCAUUUAACAUGGAGUGGAAAAUGAAUUGUUUCUGUUGUUUUUCAGAUAGGACAGAAACAUUUAAAUAAUAAAUAAGACAGGACAAUAGUCUUAAAAUUCUUUUAUGGUCAUCAGGGGCAUCACUACAGAUUUAUGGGCAGGAUCUGCGGGCAUGCCCACCCAAGUAAAAUAAAAUAAGUCCCCCAGAGUGUCUGUUUAUCAUGAUUGUUUAGAGAAGCAAUAGGUGACCUUCAAAAUAUGGCUAUUCAUUGUUAGUAUAAGACACAGAUCUAAUAAUUCAAAUGCUGUCCUUCAACUUUCAGCAGACACAGAUCAACCAAAGGUACUGAAGUCCAGCAGUGCUCUCUCUCCUCUCUCGUAAAACAAAUUAGAGCUCCUAAAAUUUCAUUCACAUAUACAGACUAUGAACUCGCACCUGAUCAGACCUGUUCCUUCAGCCCUGUCAGUCUCUGCCAUCUUCUUACUUAUCCUGUCCUUUCCUGCUUCUGGUAACACACCAUAUUUUAUUCAUCUGGAUUUACAAGAACUUGAGGGUUAGACCAGUCAGUUCACAUUUUUUGUUUGAAAUUAAAAAAUCGUAUUGUCAAAAAAGGUUAAAUUUAGCUCUUUGGCCCGUUCACGCUCUCACUAUCUGUGGAGUUUACUAAAAUAGCUGGCUCAUCAAGUUAACAUAAAGUUAGGCAAGCAGUUAAGAACAGGCUAAAAACUUGCUAUACUGGCUAUAAUUUAAUAUUAAAAAAUAAUAAUUUUUUAAUCAGGCUCAACUGCAGGGUCUACCAAAGCACGACGAAGGUAGUUGGUUGAAGGAACCCUGACCCUAGCACAGCAGGAGAUGUGAGUUUUAAGUUGUUAUGUCAACACUGGUAUACUGUCUUAGAGAUUCAGCACUGUGAUGCAGCUUUGUACUGCUUUGGCAUAUACAGUGAGAAGGAACAGCUAAUCAGACACACUUGUUGUUACUUAAUAGACUUCCAGUGCAUGUAUCCACCUAAUAUUCACACAGAUAACGUCUUUUUACCCUGUACUUAGAAAUAUGAGCAAAAAGUAUGUAUUCGUAAAUAUAAUCAAAUAGGAGAAAAAAGUAUUCAGACACCACAAAUCAGUUGUUAGUAUUGUAGCUAUUUGUUGCAAACCCGCUGUAGACAAUAACAGCUUUAAGAAGUCUAUGGUAAAAAGUAUAUGUAUAGUUCACAUUUAUAGUACAAAGUCAAAAGAUAUUAUAAUGUAAAGUUGUUGUGGAUAUGUGCACUGAAAGUGUAUUGAUAAACAAACACAAAAGUGUCAGAAACCUUGUUUUGCUUGUCCUGUCCUGGUUACCCACAAUGGCCCAUAUUUAUCAAAGUUCUCAGAGUAUGAAUACUGAUCUGGAAUCAUUUUGUGCCUUUUACAGUUCUCUCUAUAGGCUAAAUUGACUGAGUCUUGAAUUUAGAUGAGUACUUUUACUAAUUUUACUCUUACAUGCUUGAUAAAUAUGGGUGAAUUUCUCUGGUUGUCUUUUUGUAGGGAAAUUUCUUUCAGUGUGAAGCACCAUUUUAAAAGCAUAUGAAAAUGUGAUUAUUUCAGAUGGUCAAAGUAGCAUUCAGUGCCAGGUGGUGGCUGGAUAUUUCAGGAGUAGUACAAAACUAGUGGUCUUUCUGAUUGCACUAAAAGAAUGAUGGUGAACAUACAUGUGGCAGAUAUGGUGGAAAGCCAUAGGUGAGUAAACAGUGAAUAAUCACAUUUAUUGGAAGUAUUGUAUUUUUCUGUAUAUUUAAUUCUGACCAUGUUUCUUAAUAGUACUUGUGUGGUUUUAAUGAAGGAGGAUCCAAUCUUUAAAUGUCCUCAUUUUAUAUGCCCUUGGAAUAGUAACACUUUUCCCCUUGCUAGAAAGAUUCAGAUUUUAAGAAUAGUUGCAUAAGUACUGAUGAAUACAUGCAAAUAUUUUGCUGUUCAUCUCAGCAAGCGAGAUAAAGAGCAAAAUAUCCAAUUAUAAAGAUGACCCAAAGACUCAUCAUGAGAGACCUGUUUGAGGGGAGCAGUUAUCUGGUGAAAUAUACAUAAGGAUGAUGUGCCUGAUGAACCACUCAGCUGACACUCACUGUUUAAGGACAAAAUGAAAGCAGCGUUCGAACACAGGUAAAAUUGGUUCAUGAUCCACGUCUUCAAUCAUCCUAGACCUCUUCCCCCAGUUUCUUGAACACCAGAAACGUGUUGAAUGUGUGCUGUUUCUUGAAAGUAAAUGUUGUGUUAUGCAUUUUUAAUACAAUCAGAUGGCAAAGUGACCUGGCUAUCUAUCCUCUUUCUUCUUCAUCCCAACCCCAAAAGGCAAGAACAUGAGAAAGAUAAGCUCAUCUGAAGCUGAGGACUGCCUGAUGAAGUUCAUGAGGACAGACUACCUUUGAAAAUCAGAUGUUAACUAAAUUUUUUGCAUUCAAGCAAAGAAGUACCAGCUGUCCAGACAUGUGCUGUAAUUUUCCCCACAGUGUCUUUUUGGUCUUGAGUAUCUAAGUUUUUCUAAUUAUAAUUUUCAUAAUGGUAUCAUAACCCUAGUGUGCUUCUUCAACAUUGCUUACUAUUCCACAAAUUAAAGUUUAUUCUCUCUUUUCUGACUUUUAGUCUGUCUGCUUUGUCUGUUUAUUUAUGCCGUUGUAUUUCAAAUAAGAGUGAGCAUGGUAGUCUUCCUUAUGAAAAGUGGAUCAGCACAGCCCUUUCUUUUUUGUUUUGGGGAAAAGAAAGUUAAGAUGGUAUGUUAAAAUGAAAACUGAAAACAGUGAUUUGUAAAUUAUUUUUGACCUGUCUUUCAAAUAAUAAAUUACUACAUUAUUUGAUGUUAUACCUUUUUUUUCAAAAUAAACACUUACUUCAAUUUUGAUUUUUGCAACAUAUUUAAAAAUAAAAUUUGAACAGUAAAGCUGGCUUUUCACUGGGAGAAUUUAUUUUAAAAUGUUUUAAUUUGGUCCCAUUAAAAAUGUUUUAAUUAGCAAUCUAGAGGGUAUUGAAAUGUUAAGUGAUGUACUUAAUGUAUUUAGUUUUCUCCACUACUUGUUGGGUGGGGGAAAAAGCAGAAUAUCACACUGUAAUGAUUGUCUGUACUGAUGUCAAAAGGAGAUGUUCAUCUUUAAAAACAUUGUCAAUGUAACUGUGAAAAGUGAGUACAUUUUCCUUUAAACAAACGUCAGUGCAGGGUUUUCAUGACCACAUGAAUGCCUUCUGCAUUCAGGACACAGCAGAUGGAUUUACAGUGAUUUGUGUUGAUUUGAAAGAGAGAUUUCAUGGAUGACGAAAUGUAUAUGGUGCCUUGCUGCAACUUUGUGAUGUGAAAUGCCACGAGCUCAGCACAGCAGUACAGUUCAUGAAAAAGGCAAUAUUUGUUAUUGUGGUUUACUACAGUAUCAAGUUUUAAAUUAAAUCUUCUCAAUUGAUAUUGAGUUACUGUGUUUUUGU